ACCUCGGAUCAGGUAGGGAUACCCGCUGAACUUAAGCAUAUCAAUAAGCGGAGGAAAAGAAACCAACAGGGAUUGCCUCAGUAACGGCGAGUGAAGCGGCAACAGCUCAAAUUUGAAAUCUGGCCUCUUUGGGGUCCGAGUUGUAAUUUGUAGAGGAUGUUUCGGGUACCGCCUCGGUUUAAAUUUCUUGGAACAGAAUGUCAAAGAGGGUGAGAAUCCCGUCUUGGACCGGCGGUAGGGCCCAUGUGAAACUCCUUCGACGAGUCGAGUUGUUUGGGAAUGCAGCUCAAAAUGGGUGGUAAAUUUCAUCUAAAGCUAAAUAUUGGCCAGAGACCGAUAGCGCACAAGUAGAGUGAUCGAAAGAUGAAAAGCACUUUGAAAAGAGAGUUAAACAGUAUGUGAAAUUGUUGAAAGGGAAGCGCUUACAACCAGACUUGCGCGCGGCGGUUCCCCCUUCCUUUUGGUUGGGCUACUCCGUCGUGUCCAGGCCAACAUCGGUUCUGGGGGUCGGUUAAAGACCCUGGGAAUGUAUCUACCCUUCGGGCGUAGACUUAUAGCUCAGGGUGUCAUGCGACCUCCCNNGA
rnacentral:rRNA from 1 species